UUAAGUUAUUAAGGGCGCACGGUGGAUGCCUUGGCACUAGAAGCCGAUGAAGGACGUUACUAACGACGAUAUGCUUUGGGGAGCUGUAAGUAAGCUUUGAUCCAGAGAUUUCCGAAUGGGGAAACCCAGCAUGAGUUAUGUCAUGUUAUCGAUAUGUGAAUACAUAGCAUAUCAGAAGGCACACCCGGAGAACUGAAACAUCUUAGUACCCGGAGGAAGAGAAAGAAAAUUCGAUUCCCUUAGUAGCGGCGAGCGAAACGGGAAGAGCCCAAACCAACAAGCUUGCUUGUUGGGGUUGUAGGACACUCUAUACGGAGUUACAAAGGACGACAUUAGACGAAUCAUCUGGAAAGAUGAAUCAAAGAAGGUAAUAAUCCUGUAGUCGAAAAUGUUGUCUCUCUUGAGUGGAUCCUGAGUACGACGGAGCACGUGAAAUUCCGUCGGAAUCUGGGAGGACCAUCUCCUAAGGCUAAAUACUCUCUAGUGACCGAUAGUGAACCAGUACCGUGAGGGAAAGGUGAAAAGCACCCCGGAAGGGGAGUGAAAUAGAACCUGAAACCGUGUGCUUACAAGUAGUCAGAGCCCGUUAAUGGGUGAUGGCGUGCCUUUUGUAGAAUGAACCGGCGAGUUACGAUUUGAUGCAAGGUUAAGCAGUAAAUGUGGAGCCGUAGCGAAAGCGAGUCUGAAUAGGGCGUUUAGUAUUUGGUCGUAGACCCGAAACCAGGUGAUCUACCCUUGGUCAGGUUGAAGUUCAGGUAACACUGAAUGGAGGACCGAACCGACUUACGUUGAAAAGUGAGCGGAUGAACUGAGGGUAGCGGAGAAAUUCCAAUCGAACCUGGAGAUAGCUGGUUCUCUCCGAAAUAGCUUUAGGGCUAGCCUCAAGUGAUGAUUAUUGGAGGUAGAGCACUGUUUGGACGAGGGGCCCCUCUCGGGUUACCGAAUUCAGACAAACUCCGAAUGCCAAUUAAUUUAACUUGGGAGUCAGAACAUGGGUGAUAAGGUCCGUGUUCGAAAGGGAAACAGCCCAGACCACCAGCUAAGGUCCCAAAAUAUAUGUUAAGUGGAAAAGGAUGUGGCGUUGCCCAGACAACUAGGAUGUUGGCUUAGAAGCAGCCAUCAUUUAAAGAGUGCGUAAUAGCUCACUAGUCGAGUGACACUGCGCCGAAAAUGUACCGGGGCUAAACAUAUUACCGAAGCUGUGGAUUGUCCUUUGGACAAUGGUAGGAGAGCGUUCUAAAGGCGUUGAAGCAUGAUCGUAAGGACAUGUGGAGCGCUUAGAAGUGAGAAUGCCGGUGUGAGUAGCGAAAGACGGGUGAGAAUCCCGUCCACCGAUUGACUAAGGUUUCCAGAGGAAGGCUCGUCCGCUCUGGGUUAGUCGGGUCCUAAGCUGAGGCCGACAGGCGUAGGCGAUGGAUAACAGGUUGAUAUUCCUGUACCACCUAUAAUCGUUUUAAUCGAUGGGGGGACGCAGUAGGAUAGGCGAAGCGUGCGAUUGGAUUGCACGUCUAAGCAGUAAGGCUGAGUAUUAGGCAAAUCCGGUACUCGUUAAGGCUGAGCUGUGAUGGGGAGAAGACAUUGAGUCUUCGAGUCGUUGAUUUCACACUGCCGAGAAAAGCCUCUAGAUAGAAAAUAGGUGCCCGUACCGCAAACCGACACAGGUAGUCAAGAUGAGAAUUCUAAGGUGAGCGAGCGAACUCUCGUUAAGGAACUCGGCAAAAUGACCCCGUAACUUCGGGAGAAGGGGUGCUCUUUAGGGUUAACGCCCAGAGGAGCCGCAGUGAAUAGGCCCAAGCGACUGUUUAUCAAAAACACAGGUCUCUGCUAAACCGUAAGGUGAUGUAUAGGGGCUGACGCCUGCCCGGUGCUGGAAGGUUAAGAGGAGUGGUUAGCUUCUGCGAAGCUACGAAUCGAAGCCCCAGUAAACGGCGGCCGUAACUAUAACGGUCCUAAGGUAGCGAAAUUCCUUGUCGGGUAAGUUCCGACCCGCACGAAAGGCGUAACGAUUUGGGCACUGUCUCAACGAGAGACUCGGUGGAAUCAUAGUACCUGUGAAGAUGCAGGUUACCCGCGACAGGACGGAAAGACCCCGUGGAGCUUUACUGUAGCCUGAUAUUGAAAUUCGGCACAGCUUGUACAGGAUAGGUAGGAGCCUUUGAAACGUGAGCGCUAGCUUACGUGGAGGCGCUGGUGGGAUACUACCCUAGCUGUGUUGGCUUUCUAACCCACACCACUUAUCGUGGUGGGAGACAGUGUCAGGCGGGCAGUUUGACUGGGGCGGUCGCCUCCUAAAAGGUAACGGAGGCGCUCAAAGGUUCCCUCAGAAUGGUUGGAAAUCAUUCAUAGAGUGUAAAGGCAUAAGGGAGCUUGACUGCGAGACCUACAAGUCGAGCAGGGUCGAAAGACGGACUUAGUGAUCCGGUGGUUCCGCAUGGAAGGGCCAUCGCUCAACGGAUAAAAGCUACCCCGGGGAUAACAGGCUUAUCUCCCCCAAGAGUUCACAUCGACGGGGAGGUUUGGCACCUCGAUGUCGGCUCAUCGCAUCCUGGGGCUGUAGUCGGUCCCAAGGGUUGGGCUGUUCGCCCAUUAAAGCGGUACGCGAGCUGGGUUCAGAACGUCGUGAGACAGUUCGGUCCCUAUCCGUCGUGGGCGUAGGAAAUUUGAGAGGAGCUGUCCUUAGUACGAGAGGACCGGGAUGGACAUACCUCUGGUGUACCAGUUGUCGUGCCAACGGCAUAGCUGGGUAGCUAUGUGUGGACGGGAUAAGUGCUGAAAGCAUCUAAGCAUGAAGCCCCCCUCAAGAUGAGAUUUCCCAACUUCGGUUAUAAGAUCCCUCAAAGAUGAUGAGGUUAAUAGGUUCGAGGUGGAAGCAUGGUGACAUGUGGAGCUGACGAAUACUAAUCGAUCGAAGACUUAAUCAA
rnacentral:rRNA from 1 species